rnacentral:rRNA from 1 species
AGUCUGGUGCCAGCAGCCGCGGUAAUUCCAGCUCCAAUAGCGUAUAUUAAAGUUGUUGCAGUUAAAAAGCUCGUAGUUGGAUAUCGGGCGCGUGCGCAUGGUCAACCGAAAGGUGUGCACUGUGUCUGCGCGCGUCCUCUUUCCGUAGGCCGCGUGUGCCCUUAACUGGGUGUGCGCGGAAUGCGGAUCGUUUACUUUGAAUAAAUUAGAGUGUUCAAAGCAGGCUUUCGCUUGAAUACAUUAGCAUGGAAUAAUGGAAUAGGACUUUGGUUCUAUUUUGUUGGUUUCUAGGACCGAAGUAAUGAUUAAUAGGGAUAGUUGGGGGCAUUAAUAUUUAAUUGUCAGAGGUGAAAUUCUUGGAUUUAUGAAAGAUUAACUUCUGCGAAAGCAUUUGCCAAGGAUGUUUUCAUUAAUCAAGAACGAAAGUUAAGGGAUCGAAGAUGAUUAGAUACCGUCGUAGUCUUAACCAUAAACUAUGCCGACUAGGGAUUGGGGGAUGUUUUUCAUGACGCCCUCAGCACCUUCAGAGAAAUCAAAGUCUUUGGGUUCCGGGGGGAGUAUGGUCGCAAGGCUGAAACUUAAAGGAAUUGACGGAAGGGCACCACCAGGCGUGGAGCCUGCGGCUUAAUUUGACCCAACACGGGAAAACUUACCAGGUCCAGACAUAGUAAGGAUUGACAGAUUGAGAGCUCUUUCUUGAUUCUAUGGGUGGUGGUGCAUGGCCGUUCUUAGUUGGUGGAGUGAUUUGUCUGGUUAAUUCCGUUAACGAACGAGACCUUAGCCUGCUAAAUAGUUACGCCAAGCUCUGCUUGUGCGGGCAACUUCUUAGAGGGACUAUCGGUGUCUAACCGGAGGAAGUUUGAGGCAAUAACAGGUCUGUGAUGCCCUUAGAUGUUCUGGGCCUCACGCGCGCUACACUGAAAGCGUCAACAAGUAUAUAACCUUGACCGGGAGGUCUGGGUAAUCUUUUGAAACGCUUUCGUGCUGGGGAUUGAUGGUUGCAAUUUUCCAUCAUGAACGAGGAAUGCCUAGUAAGCGCAGGUCAUCAGCCUGCGUUGAUUACGUCCCUGCCCUUUGUACACACCGCCCGUCGCUCCUACCGAUUGGAUGGUCCGGUGAGACUUCCGGACCGCGGCGCCCACGGAGGUUCGCCACCGAGGGUGCUGCGGGAAGUUAUUCAAACCUUAUCAUCUAGAGGAAGGAGAAGUCGUA